rnacentral:lncRNA from 1 species
UCAUUCUUAGCUAAUGCUACCUGCAAAGGGUCAGAACAUAAAAUUUCUUGCAAAUGGGACUCAACCAUAUCAUCAAUCACAUCAAUAGAAUAUACAGUAUUAUCAUAGUCUAGUGACUGUCUCAUAAAAGUGGCUAGGUCAAAGGUAAUGGUCUCAUCAUUAACUCUAAGCUUAAGCUUUCCAUCGCUUACAUCGAUAACAGCCCUCGAUGUAGCUAGGAAAGGCCUACCCAGGAUAAGACGCACAGUGCUCUCACCCUCCAUAUCC